GAUUGGAGACUAAUUGAUAGCUUUAAACUUGCGACCAGCAAUGAAAGCAGAGGAUAAUGAAUAAGUGAGGAUGAAUGGAAUCGCGUGAUGAUGCAAGUGAAUCAGAAUUGAGGAUCUGUCAGGCAAGUAUUUACUUAUAAAAAGAUUAACGAUACUCUUCUGCUUAAAUAGGAUAGGUUUACAAAAUUAAUAAAUUUUUGCAAAUUAAAUAACCUUGCAGAGAUCAAAGGAGGAGAGGAUGAAUAUUUCCAUUACGCAAAUGAUACAAAGAGAUAAAGUUCCCAAAUGUUAUUAUGGUAUGUACGCAUAGGAGGUAAGAAAUAUGGUGUCAUGUAUUAUCCUUCUUUGUCAAUUCAUUGUGUAUGGUGUUCUGUAUAAGGUUUGGGAAUAAUUUAUGGUUUAUUUGAUUUGCAUGAUUUCAA
rnacentral:lncRNA from 1 species